rnacentral:rRNA from 1 species
CCUACGGGAGGCAGCAGUAGGGAAUUUUCGUCAAUGGGCGCAAGCCUGAACGAGCAAUGCCGCGUGAACGAGGAAGGUCUUCGGAUCGUAAAGUUCUGUUGAAGGGGAAAAAGAGCGGAGAGAGGAAAUGGUCUCCGAUUGAUAUUACCGUUCGAGGAAGUCACGGCUAACUACGUGCCAGCAGGCGCGGUAAUACGUAGGUGGCGAGCGUUAUCCGGAAUGAUUGGGCGAAAAGGGUGCGUAGGCGGCCUGCUAAGUCUGGAGUGAAAGGUACCGGCUCAACCGGUACAGGCUCUGGAAACUGGCGGGCUAGAGAGCAGGAGAGGGCGGUGGAACUCCAUGUGUAGCGGUAAAAUGCGUAGAUAUAUGGAAGAACACCAGUGGCGAAGGCGGCCGCCUGGCCUGUUACUGACGCUGAGGCACGAAAGCGUGGGGAGCAAAUAGGAUUAGAUACCCUAGUAGUC